rnacentral:pre_miRNA from 1 species
GUUAUACUCCCUCCGUCUGAAAAAGCUUGUUCCUCAAAUGGAUGUAUCUAGCACUAACUUGGUGCUAGAUACAUUCAUUUGAGGGACAAGCUUUUCCGGACGGAGGGAGUACGAG